CGAGGUGUGGUCCACCGGUAGGAUGCGUGAUUUGGGAUCACGUGAUAGCAGGUUCGAUUCCUGUCACCUCGA
rnacentral:tRNA from 1 species